rnacentral:rRNA from 1 species
UACGUAGGGUGCAAGCGUUAAUCGGAAUUACUGGGCGUAAAGCGUGCGCAGGCGGUUAUGUAAGACCGAUGUGAAAUGCCCGGGCUUAACCUGGGAACUGCAUUUGUGACUGCAUGGCUAGAGUUUGGCAGAGGGGGGUAGAAUUCCACGUGUAGCAGUGAAAUGCGUAGAUAUGCGGAGGAACACCGAUGGCGAAGGCAAUCCCCUGGGCCUGCACUGACGCUCAUGCACGAAAGCGUGGGGAGCAAACAGG